CGGUGUUUAACUGGCGUGAUGUGGGACGUCCUACCGGUGGGCUUAGCCUCGCGAGGGGCGGCCCAACUAAUAUCCCGUCGCGGUGCUCUUUACUGAGUGUCGAGUCGGGCCGGUACGUUUACUUUGAACAAAUUAGAGUGCUUAAAGCAGGCUAUCCUCGCCUGAAUACUGCGUGCAUGGAAUAAUGGAAUAGGACCUCGGUUCUAUUUUGUUGGUUUUCGGAACCCCGAGGUAAUGAUUAAUAGGGACAGAUGGGGGCAUUCGUAUUGCGACGUUAGAGGUGAAAUUCUUGGAUCGUCGCAAGACGGACAGAAGCGAAAGCAUUUGCCAAAAAUGUUUUCAUUAAUCAAGAACGAAAGUUAGAGGUUCGAAGGCGAUCAGAUACCGCCCUAGUUCUAACCAUAAACGAUGCCAGCUAGCGAUCCGCCGAAGUUCCUCCGAUGACUCGGCGGGCAGCUUCCGGGAAACCAAAGCUUUUGGGUUCCGGGGGAAGUAUGGUUGCAAAGCUGAAACUUAAAGGAAUUGACGGAAGGGCACCACCAGGAGUGGAGCCUGCGGCUUAAUUUGACUCAACACGGGAAACCCUCACCAGGCCCAGACACCGGAAGGAUUGACAGAUUGAUAGCUCUUUCUUGAUUCGGUGGGUGGUGGUGCAUGGCCGUUCUUAGUUGGUGGAGCGAUUUGUCUGGUUAAUUCCGAUAACGAACGAGACUCUAGCCUGCUAAAUAGGCGUACCUUAUGGUAUCGCGAAGGCCCCCGGCUUCGGCCGGUGGGUUUUUACUACCAACGUACAAACAAAUCUUCUUAGAGGGACAGGCGG
rnacentral:rRNA from 1 species